UACAGGGGGGGCAAGCGUUGUUCGGAAUUACUGGGCGUAAAGGGUUCGUAGGUGGCCAACUUAGUCAGACGUGAAAUCCCCCAGCUUAACUGGGGAACUGCGUCUGAUACUGGAUGGCUUGAGUGCAGGAGAGGAACGCGGAAUUCCAGGUGUAGCGGUGAAAUGCGUAGAUAUCUGGAGGAACACCGGUGGCGAAGGCGGCGUUCUGGACUGCAACUGACACUGAGGAACGAAAGCCAGGGGAGCAAACGGG
rnacentral:rRNA from 1 species